AAGUGCUUGAUGAAUUUUUAUAUAACAACUGAUCAUUGUCCAUACUUCUAUUCAUCUACAGCCUUCCUGCUCGGAAAUGAUUCCUGCAGGAGUAGAUAUUUUUCCACUCAUUGAUCUUGAAGGAGGGAAAGGUGAAUUAAUAGGCAUAGCUCCUGUUUCUGCCAGAAAUCUUUGUAUGACCGGAAGGCUUAAAGGACCAUUAUUAUAAUACAGUGUGAGCAGAACAACACAGAUUACAAAAAUGUCACUGAAUUAACUACUUGUUGCUGGAAAUGUGCAGAUGUCCAACCAUAUUCACUUGGCACUAGAAAAGAACAAACACCCACAGUGAUGCCACAGGGCUGACCUAGUUCUCGGUAAGUGGCCCCUUGAUGUGCACUUCAUCAUACAGAGCAAGUGUUGCAGACUAUAACAAUUCUCUGAAGGAUUUCCAAAAUCUGUUUAUAUAGGAAGGGUACGAUGAAUGUAGCGGUUCCUGAAAACUUUCCUGCGUAGCAGUAAAGAAAAAUGAAUUUACCACUUACACCAUGUUCCAGAAAAUCUUUUCCAUGCCUAGGCCUAAUGUGACUGUAUCUUAGAAAGCUGUAGAACAUAAAAAAAAAAAAAAAAAAGAAAAAAAGAAAAAAAGAAGUGGAACUUGGAGAGCUAGAAGUAAGUUGGGGCACUUGGGGAAAUAAAGAGAAACAGAUCUAGGGGAAAAGCCUAUUC
rnacentral:lncRNA from 1 species